rnacentral:tRNA from 1 species
UAGUUUAUAGUUUAUAGAGCAUUGGAAUGUGGGUCCAAAGGGUAUUAAACUAA